rnacentral:rRNA from 1 species
CAGUAGCCGCGGUAAUACGUAGGGGGCAAGCGUUAUCCGGAAUAACUGGGCGUAAAGGGUGCGCAGGUGGUUUGACAAGUUAGUGGUGAAAGGCAUAGGCUCAACCAAUGUAAGCCAUUAAAACUGUUUAACUUGAGUGCAGGAGAGGAAAGUGGAAUUCCUAGUGUAGCGGUGAAAUGCGUAGAUAUUAGGAAGAACACCAGUGGCGAAGGCGACUUUCUGGACGAAAACUGACGCUGAGGCGCGAAAGCCAGGGGAGCGAACGGGAUUAGAUACCCCUGUAGUCCCUGUCUCUUAUACA